UGGUUGCGGGGACAGGAUUUGAACCUGCGACCUUCGGGUUAUGAGCCCGACGAGCUACCAGACUGCUCCACCCCGCG
rnacentral:tRNA from 12 species